rnacentral:rRNA from 1 species
CAAUAGCGUAUAUUAAAGUUGUUGCAGUUAAAAAGCUCGUAGUUGGAUUUCUGGUUGAAGCGACCGGUCAGGCGUUGAUUCGUCUGCACUGGAGUCGGUUUUGGCCAUCCUCUAGGAAAGUGCGUCUGGUAUUAAGUUAUCGGGCGUAUGAUCCUGGUCUUUUACUGUGAAAAAAUUAGAGUGUUUAAAGCAGGCCUUCGCCUUGAAUACAUUAGCAUGGAAUAAUAAGAUAGGACUUUGGUCUAUUUUGUUGGUUUGCAGACCGAAGUAAUGAUUAAUAGGGAUAGUUGGGGGUAUUUAUAUUCCGAUGUCAGAGGUGAAAUUCUUAGAUUUUCGGAAGAUAAACUUAUGCGAAAGCAUUUACCAAGGAUGUUUUCAUUA